rnacentral:lncRNA from 1 species
GCUGCCGAAGGCCGCCGCCGGCCACAACGCCCCACUGCCGGUUCGCCCCGCCGCCGAAGAUCCCCGCUGAAGGUAUGGUUUGUGCAAGUGUGACCUUUUAGAUCUUUCUUGUUCUACACUAAUUUCUUAUUCUACACUAAUGACACUGCCAGUUGAAACUCUGGUGGAAACAAACCACUUCCUCCGGCUAAAACAAAGAAAAUUUAAAUAAUGGUGCAAAAUCUUAGAUUUCUGGCGAAAGCGCAUACUUUUUUAUUCAAUUGUGACCAACCAAAAGUGGUGAACAGAUUGCUCGUUACCCUAAACUCGAAAGCCAUAGCACGGUACUCGAAAGUCGUAGCAACAACCACGGGCCUCUGGUGUUCCUGAUCUAUUUUUUUGAAGUAAAAUCAGAGGAUUAGGUGUGAUUGUACAUGUACAUGUAAAAGCUGGUUUGCAUGCGGAUGAUCUAUUUUGUAAGUGACCUGUUUUGAGGUGAACCAAUGCCUA